GAAGAUCAAAGGCUUCUCCUGGUGGCCGGCCAUCGUGGUGUCCUGGAAGACGACCUCCAACCGCCAGGCGGCCCCUGGCAUGCGCUGGUUGAAAUGGUUUGGGGACGGAAAGUUUUCGGAGAUCUCCGCUGACAAACUGGUGGGUCUGGUACAUUUCCGGGAACAUUUCAACCCGCCACGUUUCAGAAGUUGGUGUCCUACCAACAAUCCAUUCUCCAUGUUUUGGAGGUUGCAAGUAGCCGAGCUGGGAAGACUUUCUCCACCGUGGCUGGGGAAUCUCUGGAUGAGAAACUGAAACCUAUGCUGGAUUGGGCCAACCACGGAUUCAAACCCGCUGGAGAGAAGGGGCUACGGC